rnacentral:rRNA from 1 species
GAUCUGGCUCAGAUUGAACGCUGGCGGCAGGCCUAACACAUGCAAGUCGAACGGUAACAGGAAGCAGCUUGCUGCUUUGCUGACGAGUGGCGGACGGGUGAGUAAUGUCUGGGAAACUGCCUGAUGGAGGGGGAUAACUACUGGAAACGGUAGCUAAUACCGCAUAACGUCGCAAGACCAAAGAGGGGGACCUUCGGGCCUCUUGCCAUCGGAUGUGCCCAGAUGGGAUUAGCUUGUUGGG